rnacentral:rRNA from 1 species
GGGGAAACCCAGUGUGUUCCGACACACUAUCGUUAACUGAAUACAUAGGUUAACGAGGCGAACCGGGGGAACUGAAACAUCUAAGUACCCCGAGGAAAAGAAAUCAACCGAGAUUCCCCCAGUAGCGGCGAGCGAACGGGGAGCAGCCCGGAGUCUGAAUCAGCUUGUGUGUUAGUGGAACGGUCUGGAAAGUCCGACGGUACAGGGUGAUAGUCCCGUACACGAAAAUGCACAUGCUGUGAACUCGAAGAGUAGGGCGGGACACGUGGUAUCCUGUCUGAAUAUGGGGGGACCAUCCUCCAAGGCUAAAUACUCCUGACUGACCGAUAGUGAACCAGUACCGUGAGGGAAAGGCGAAAAGAACCCCGGCGAGGGGAGUGAAAAAGAACCUGAAACCGUGUACGUACAAGCAGUGGGAGCACCUUCGGGUGUGACUGCGUACCUUUUGUAUAAUGGGUCAGCGACUUAUAUUCUGUAGCAAGGUUAACCGUAUAGGGGAGCCGAAGGGA